rnacentral:rRNA from 1 species
GGGGGCGAGCGUUAUCCGGAUUUAUUGGGCGUAAAGCGUGCGUAGGCGGUUUGUUAAGUCCAGAAUAAAAGCCCGGGGCUUAACCUCGGUUCGUUCUGGAAACUGGCAGACUAGAGUAUGGUAGAGGCAAAUGGAAUUCCUAGUGUAGCGGUGAAAUGCGUAGAUAUUAGGAGGAACACCAGUGGCGAAGGCGAUUUGCUGGGCCAUCACUGACGCUGAGGUACGAAAGCGUGGGGAGCAAAU